rnacentral:misc_RNA from 1 species
AAUUUGGUCGCGUUAAAGCAGUAGGCACUUCCUGCAGUUUGACAUGGUGAUAUUCGCUCUGAAGCAUUUCGCAGUCUGCCUCCAAACAAAUCAUCGUACACCUCGACGCACCCAGAGCAUUUUGCAUGCACGAAACCAUGUAAAGCCGCGGAGAGACUGAAUAUUUUCGCGUUUUGUUCCACGAGAUUUUAUGGCCAAAUCAGUGUCGGACCUUGACGAGUGGAAACUUUUCAGACUGACCUAUUGAUACAUAUGUAGUUGCUUCAUCCACGAUCCUAGUCAUCCAAAUUUAUCGAUACCGCGAAGAAACAAACAUGGAAAUUAACUGCACGCUUCUAGUCGAUUCUAUAGAUUGCGAAGCUUAUAGAUUUUAAAGAAACAGCUGAUUAAAGUUUCAGAAUUAGACGUUCGUACAAAAGCAUCAAUACUUUGUUUCCAAAAGUUGAUCAUAAUAGACGCUAUUCAUAGACGCUCGUUAUCUUCCAGCGAUCGUAACGAAAUGAAUUCUCAAGCAGUCGCUAGAUCUUCGUAAUUUCAAGAAGCGGUAAAGUUGAAGACAAAUAAAUGAGAAGUAGAAAUUGCUAUGUAACUGAUUCCCGUUUUAAAACAAUAAACACGAACGAACGAGUUUAUAACAAGUUGGGAUGUAGUUAUCAAGAACAGCGAAAUUAUUGUUGAUCCCCCUGACUGCAACGCUAUCAAGAUAAAACUCAAUACUUAAUAAAACUGGAUACUCUAUAUAGAUACGAUCCAAUUCAAUUCAAAGUAGAGCAAAUCGGUGAAUUGCGUUCAAGCGUUGCUUAUCGAAGUAAUAUAAUUUUUGCCACGAUGAAUAGCGAAACUUUCUGCAUUGAUAAGCAAAUAUCUUGAGACUUGGCAAAAACAGACCAACGCGUACCGUCGGUGAAAGAGAUACAACGAGGCGAUAAAAGCGGUCAUGUGUUUAAAUUUAUAUGCUUUGAGUUCCGAAACGGCACUUUAAAAUGUAAGUGCAACAGAAAUAGACGACGCUGACACUCGAGUUGGUUCUAAUAAUCGAAUAAAACAGUGCUUGGAGCAACUUCUAAAUAUACGUAAUUUUCUAUCU